GAUGAACGCUGGCGGCGUGCCUAAUACAUGCAAGUCGAGCGAACAGACGAGGAGCUUGCUCCUCUGACGUUAGCGGCGGACGGGUGAGUAACACGUGGAUAACCUACCUAUAAGACUGGGAUAACUUCGGGAAACCGGAGCUAAUACCGGAUAAUAUAUUGAACCGCAUGGUUCAAUAGUGAAAGACGGUUUUGCUGUCACUUAUAGAUGGAUCCGCGCCGCAUUAGCUAGUUGGUAAGGUAACGGCUUACCAAGGCAACGAUGCGUAGCCGACCUGAGAGGGUGAUCGGCCACACUGGAACUGAGACACGGUCCAGACUCCUACGGGAGGCAGCAGUAGGGAAUCUUCCGCAAUGGGCGAAAGCUUUACGGAGCAACGCCGCGUGAGUGAUGAAGGUCUUCGGAUCGUAAAACUCUGUUAUUAGUGAAGAACAAAUGUGUAAGUAACUAUGCACGUCUUGACGGUACCCAAUCAGAAAGCCACGGCUAACUACGUG
rnacentral:rRNA from 1 species